AGAGUUUGAUCCUGGCUCAGGACGAACGCUGGUGGCGUGCUUUAUACAUGCAAGUCUUACUGGAAGCCUGUUUCGGCAGGUGGAAAGUGGCGAACGGGUGAGUAACGCGUAGAUAACCAACCUCUUAGUCUGGGAUAAUGUCGGGAAACUGGCACUAAUACCGGAUAAGCUAACGCCAAUGAAGGUUGAAGUUAGAAAAGAAGGCCUCUUCAUGAAAGCCUUGCUAGGAGACGGGUCUGCGUACCAUUAGCUAGUUGGUGGGGUAAGAGCUCACCAAGGCAACGAUGGUUAGCUGGUCUGAGGGGAUGAUCAGCCACACUGGGACUGAGACACGGCCCAGACUCCUACGGGAGGCUGCAGUAGGGAAUAUUCCGCAAUGGGCGCAAGCCUGACGGAGCGACGCCACGUGACUGAUGAAGUUCGAAAGGAUGUAAAGGUCUGUCAGCAGGGAAGAAGGUAACAGAGGAAAAUAAAUUCAGUUAUUUGACGGUACCUGCAAAGGAAGCUUCGGCUAAUUACGUGCCAGCAGCCGCGGUAAUACGUAAGAAGCGAGCGUUGUCCGGAAUCACUGGGUGUAAAGCGUAUGUAGGUGGUUAUGUAAGUCAGGUGUGAAAAUUCUACGGCUCAACCGAGAACGUGCACUUGAAACUACAUAGCUAGAGAUAGGGAGAGGACAGCAGAAUUCCUGGUGUAGUGGUGAAAUGCGUAGAUAUCAGGAAGAAAGCCAAUGGAGAAGUCAGCUGUCUGGUCCUAAUCUGACACUGAGAUACGAAAGCUAGGGGAGCGAACGGGAUUAGAGACCCCGGUAGUCCUAGCCGUAAACGAUGAGCACUAGGUAUUGGAAAAAUUCGGUACCGUAGCAAACGCGUUAAGUGCUCCACCUGGGGAGUACGGUCGCAAGAUUAAAACUCAAAGGAAUUGACGGGGACCCGCACAAGCGGUGGAUCAUGUGGUUUAAUUCGAUCAACGCGAAAAACCUUACCAGCGUUUGACAUCUAUAUGAAGGCUGCAGAGAUGUAGUUGCCCUGUGUUUACAUAGGUAUAUAGACAGGUGGUGCAUGGCUGUCGUCAGCUCGUGUCGUGAGAUGUUGGGUUAAGUCCCGCAACGAGCGCAACCCUUACCGUUAUUUGCCAUCAGGUAGAGCUGGGAACUUUAACGGGACUGCCGGUGACAAACCGGAGGAAGGUGGGGAUGACGUCAAGUCCUCAUGCCCUUUAUGUGCUGGGCUACACACGUGAUACAAUGGUAGGUACAGAGAGAAGCCAAAGCGUGAGCUGGAGCAGAACUCAAAAAGCCUAUCUCAGUUCGGAUUGUAGGCUGCAACCCGCCUGCAUGAAGUCGGAAUCGCUAGUAAUCGCGAAUCAGCAUGUCGCGGUGAAUACGUUCUCGGGUCUUGUAC
rnacentral:rRNA from 1 species